rnacentral:rRNA from 1 species
GACGAACGCUGGCGGCGUGCUUAACACAUGUAAGUCGAGCGGUAAGGCCCUUUCGGGGGUACACGAGCGGCGAACGGGUGAGUAACACGUGGGUGACCUGCCCUCAGCUCUGGGAUAAGCCUGGGAAACCGGGUCUAAUACUGGAUAUGACUCCAUGACGCAUGUUGUGGGGUGGAAAGCCUUGUGCGGCUGAGGAUGGGCCCGCGGCCUAUCAGCUUGUUGGUGGGGUGAUGGCCUACCAAGGCGACGACGGGUAGCCGGCCUGAGAGGGCGACCGGCCACACUGGGACUGAGACACGGCCCAGACUCCUACGGGAGGCAGCAGUGGGGAAUCUUGCGCAAUGGGCGAAAGCCUGACGCAGCGACGCCGCGUGAGGGAUGACGGCCUCGGU